rnacentral:rRNA from 1 species
AUUGAACGCUGGCGGCAGGCCUAACACAUGCAAGUCGAACGAGUGGCGGACGGGUGAGUAAUGUCUGGGAAACUGCCCGAUGGAGGGGGAUAACUACUGGAAACGGUAGCUAAUACCGCAUACCAUCGGAUGUGCCCAGAUGGGAUUAGCUAGUAGGUGGGGUAACGGCUCACCUAGGCGACGAUCCCUCGCUGGUCUGAGAGGUUGACCAGCCACACGGGAACGGAUACACUGUCCAGACUCCUACGGGAGGCAGCGUUUGGGAAUAUUGCACAAGGGGCGCAAGCCUGAUGCAGCCAUGCCGCGUGGAUGAAGAAGGCCUUCGGGUUGUAAAGUACUUUCAGCGAGGAGGCGUUACUCGCAGAAGAAGCACCGGCUAACUCCGUGCCAGCAGCCGCGGUAAUAC